GAUCUGGUUCAGGAUGAACGCUGGCGGCGUGCCUAACACAUGCAAGUCGAACGAAGCUUGGGGAACGGAGAUUCGUCGAAGAGAACCAAGACUUAGUGGCGGACGGGUGAGUAAUGUAUGAGCAACCUGCCUUUCAGAGGGGGACAACAGUUGGAAACGACUGCUAAUACCGCGUAACGUAGCGAGGGGGCAUCCCCUUGUUACCAAAGGAGCAAUCCGCUGAAAGAUGGGCUCAUAUCUGAUUAGCUUGUUGGCGGGGUAACGGCCCACCAAGGCGACGAUCAGUAGCCGGACUGAGAGGUUGAACGGCCACAUUGGGACUGAGAUACGGCCCAGACUCCUACGGGAGGCAGCAGUGGGGAAUAUUGGGCAAUGGGCGAAAGCCUGACCCAAGCAACGCCGCGUGAAGGAAGAAGGUCUUCGGAUUGUAAACUUCUUUUAUGAGGGACGAAGGACGUGACGGUACCUCAUGAAUAAGCCACGGCUAACUACGUGCCAGCAGCUGC
rnacentral:rRNA from 1 species